UACGGAGGAUCCGAGCGUUAUCCGGAUUUAUUAGGUUUAAAGGGUGCGUAGGCGGCCUAUUAAGUCAGGGGUGAAAGACGGUAGCUUAACUAUCGCAGUGCCUUUGAUACUGAUAGGCUUGAAUGUACUUGAGGUAGGCGGAAUGUGACAAGUAGCGGUGAAAUGCAUAGAUAUGUCACAGAACACCAAUUGCGAAGGCAGCUUACUAAAGUAUGAUUGACGCUGAGGCACGAAAGCGUGGGGAUCAAACAGG
rnacentral:rRNA from 1 species